AGUUGAAGCGGGAUGAGCUCAAAUUUAAAAUCUGAUAGUCUUUGGCUGUCCGAGUUGUAAUCUAGAGAAGUGUUUUCCGCGUUGGACCAUGUACAAGUUUCCUGGAACGGAACGUCAUAGAGGGUGAGAAUCCCGUCCUUGACAUGGACUACCAGUGCUUUGUGAUACACUCUCAACGAGUCGAGUUGUUUGGGAUUGCAGCUCAAAAUGGGAGGUAAAUUCCUUCUAAAGCUAAAUAUUGGCGAGAGACCGAUAGCGAACAAGUACCGUGAGGGAAAGAUGAAAAGCACUUUGGAAAGAGAGUUAAACAGUACGUGAAAUUGUUAAAAGGGAAACGAUUGAAGUCAGUCGCGUUUACUUGGACUCAGCCUUACCUCGGUUUGGUGCAUUUCCUUGUGAACGGGCCAGCGUCAAUGUUGUCCGUUGGAAAAGGGUUGGAGAAAUGUGGCUCUUUCGGGAGUGUUAUAGUCUCUGAUCGUAUACAACGGCUGAUAUUGAGUGGUACAGCAUGCUUCGGCGGUGCUUGUGCUGGCAUAAU
rnacentral:rRNA from 1 species